UACAGAGGGUGCGAGCGUUGUCCGGAAUCACUGGGCGUAAAGGGCGCGUAGGCGGCGCGGUAAGCGUGCGGUGAAAGCCCGGGGCUCAACCCCGGGUCGGCCGUGCGGACUGCCGGGCUGGAGCACUGUAGAGGCAGGUGGGAAUUCCGGGUGUAGCGGUGGAAUGCGUAGAGAUCCGGAAGAACACCGGUGGCGAAGGCGGCCUGCUGGGCAGUGGCUGGACGCUGAGGCGCGACAGCGUGGGGAGCAAACAGG
rnacentral:rRNA from 1 species